UAGGAUAUGUGGUUAGUCUCUCCCAACCUCGCCUCUCUAUCUCGAGUCCAAACUCUAGAGCCAAAUAUGGGAUGUACAUAGCCUUCCUCUCCAUCAAAAGUCGCUUUUCCUGUACAGUAGCAUAAUGCUCCUCAUGCUUCUUAGAGAGGAAUCUAGAAGAAUAGAAUCUCCUAGGUCUCUCUGGCUCCUUCCUUUUGUUGCCC
rnacentral:lncRNA from 1 species